AUGAACGCUAGCGGCAGGCUUAAUACGAUGCAAGUCGAGGGGUAGCAAGAUUGUAGCAAUACAAUUGUUGACGACCGGCAAACGGGUCGGAACACGUACACAACCUUCCUACAAGUGGGGAAUAGCCCAGAGAAAUUUGGAUUAAUACCCCGUAACAUAGCGAUGUGGCAUCACAUUGCUAUUAUAGCUUCGGCGCUUGUUGAUGGGUGUGCGGCUGAUUAGAUAGUUGGCGGGGUAACGGCCCACCAAGUCUACGAUCAGUAGCUGAUGUGAGAGCAUGAUCAGCCACACGGGCACUGAGACACGGGCCCGACUCCUACGGGAGGCAGCAGUAAGGAAUAUUGGACAAUGGACGCAAGUCUGAUCCAGCCAUGCCGCGUGAAGGAUUAAGGUCCUCUGGAUUGUAAACUUCUUUUAUAAGGGACGAAAAAAGGUCUUUCUAGAUCGUCUGACGGUACCUUAUGAAUAAGCACCGGCUAACUCCGUG
rnacentral:rRNA from 1 species